GGCAAAAACAUUGUCCGAGAGGUAAUUUCUUGCCACAGCUUUUACUUGGUCUUAUCUUUCGUGUAAUAAACAGUGUUGUAGAGAACUGAGACAUCAUAGUUAAAAUUACAUACUCUUCUCCAAGUCUCAUUUGAGAGAUUGCUAAGGCAACAACACAUCUGAUUCAAUCAUUAUAGUUGAAUAUAAUACUUAUUUUCUUUUUAAGAAAACUGAUUAUAGUUGAAUAGAAAAUAUCCGAAUAAUUUAGUUAUCAUAAUACUCAAAACUGAAAAUUCUACCAACAAUGUUUUGACAAUGGACAAGUCAAUUCAAAUUGAAUUUCCCUGUUUCACCACCUUCACGAUAGUAAAAUGGGUGCAUAAGUUUGUACAAAUGAAAAAUAAAAUAGAUCUACGUGAUAUCUCUUCAUUUGCAAAUAAUUCGUGAUGUGAAAAUACAGAGACAAAGGGCUGAUUUUUAAAUAGAAAAAAGAGUGGAUCUGCAGGAAUCUUUUAAAUUCCCUUGUAGUGAAAAAUGCUAAAAAAUAGGUUUUUUUUUUAAUUUUUCCCUUCAUUUUUAAAGUGAUAUAUUCGUGAGAGAUUGGAAAACAUAUACCAGCUUUUUGGUUAGCCCAAUCACACUCAUGAGAUAGGCCAUGAGCCAUGGGAAUCUAUGAAAUAUCGAAAUUUAUGCAUAUAUG
rnacentral:misc_RNA from 1 species